rnacentral:rRNA from 1 species
UACAGAGGGUGCGAGCGUUAAUCGGAAUUACUGGGCGUAAAGCGCGCGUAGGCGGCUUUGCAAGUCGAGUGUGAAAUCCCCAGGCUUAACCUGGGAACUGCAUUCGAGACUGCAUAGCUAGAGUAUGGGAGAGGGAAGUGGAAUUUCAGGUGUAGCGGUGAAAUGCGUAGAUAUCAGGAGGAACACCGGUGGCGAAGGCGGGUCUCUGGGCCGAUACUGACGCUGAGGAGCGAAAGCGUGGGGAGCGAACAGG